AUCCAUGUUGUCUAUAAAAAUAUGAAAUAGAACUGGUCCCAGCACAGAGCCCUGAGGGACAGCACUGGUGACUGGCCGCCAGCUGGAUGCAGCACCGUUCACCAUCACUCUCUGGGCCCAGCCAUCCAGCCAGUUCCUAACCCAGCCAAGAGUGCUCCCGCCCAAGCCGUGGGCUGCCAGCUUCUCCAGGAGUGUGCUGUGGGAGACAGUAUCAAAGGCCUUGCUGAAGUCUAAAUAGACAACAUGCACAGCCUUUCCUGCGUCCACCAGGCAGGUCACCUGGUCACAGAAGGAGACCAGGCUGGUCACACGUGGCCUACCCUUUGUAACCCCUGCUGACUGGCUCUGAUACCCUGGCCAUGCUGUGUCCCAUUGGCCAGCUUCCAAUCAUCUGGAACCUCGCCAGUGAGCCACGACUCUGGAUAAAUGAUGGAGAGCGGCUUCGCAAGCUCAUCUUCCAGCUCCCUCAUCACCCUGGCAUGGAUCCCAUCUGGCCCCAUUGAUUAAUGAAUAUCCAAGUGUCCCAUCAGUUCUCUGGCUGCCUCUUCUUGGAUAACAAGAGGACCAUUCUGCUCCCUGGCACCACCUACCAACCCCUGAGGACAAGCUGUCUUACCACCACAGACUGAGGCGAAGAAGGCAUUAAGCAUUUCUGCCUUUUCCUCAUCUUUAGUCACUAGGUUGCCUGCCUCAUUCAAUAAGGAACAGAGGUCGGAUAUACCCUUCCUUUUACCAUUAA